rnacentral:rRNA from 1 species
AUCAACUUUCGAUGGUAGGAUAGAGGCCUACCAUGGUGGUAACGGGUAACGGGGUGUUAGGGCACGACACCGGGGAGGGAGCCUGAGAAACGGCUACCACAUCCAAGGAUGGCAGCAGGCGCGCAAAUUACCCAAUCCCGAUACGGGGAGGUAGUGACAAUAAAUAACAAUACGGGGUUCUUUAGGAUCUCGUAAUUGGAAUGAGUACAAUUUAAAUCUCUUAACGAGGAACAAUUGGAGGGCAAGUCUGGUGCCAGCAGCCGCGGUAAUUCCAGCUCCAAUAGCGUAUAUUAAAGUUGUUGCAGUUAAAAAGCUCGUAGUUGAAUUUCGGGGUUAGCAGGUUGGUCAUGCCUCUGGUAUGUACUGGUCUCACUGAUUCCUCCUUCCUGAUGAACCUUAAUGCCAUUUAUUUGGUGUUUUGGGGAAUUUGGAUUGUUACUUUGAAAAAAUUAGAGUGUUUAGAGCAAGCUAACGCUUGAAUACAUUAGCAUGGAAUAAUGAAAUAGGACGUUCGAUCCUAUUUUGUUGGUUUCUAGGAUUGACGUAAUGAUUAAUAGGGAUAGUUGGGGGCAUUAGUAUUCAAUUGUCAGAGGUGAAAUUCUUGGAUUUAUUGAAGACUAACUACUGCGAAAGCAUUUGCCAAGGAUGUUUUCAUUAAUCAAGAACGAAAGUUAGGGGAUCGAAGACGAUCAGAUACCGUCGUAGUCUUAACCAUAAACUAUGCCGACUAGGGAUCGGAUGAUGUUAAUUUUUUAAUGACUCAUUCGGCGCCUUACGGGAAACCAAAGUGUUUGGGUUC